AGUGGAGAUGAUGAGAGGGGAGGGAAGUCGCGUCGCCUGAGCGUCGGCUUUGCGUCUAUUGGGGGUUUGGCUAGAGGAGGCGCGGCGCACUCUGCCCUCUCCAUGCCACCUGUAUGGAUGACCACUUUAAACUCAUCGACUCACCCCGCUCGGUGAGACACAGAGGCAACAACGUUGAGAACCACUGUUACUUCCAGACGGAGAAGGGCGUCAUGACAGUCGAGAACAUGUUGGAGGAGUCAGCGGCGCUUUCGAGCCACCUGUCCAUGGAUCGAUAUGAGCGAGAGCGUGGACGCGAUUGCUGCGAGAGGGUGGUUCUCAACAUUUCAGGGUUACGCUUCGAAACUCAACUCAAAACUUUCAACCAGUUUCCGAAAACGUUGCUCGGGGACCCCAGAAAGAGAAUGCGUUACUUUGACCCACUGAGGAACGAGUACUUCUUCGACAGAAACCGACCCAGCUUUGAUGCCAUUCUCUAUUAUUACCAGUCAGGAGGGCGCAUACGGAGACCUGUUAACGUGCCUAUUGACAUAUUCUCUGAGGAGAUCAAUUUCUAUCAACUCGGGGAAGAGGCUAUGGAAAAAUUCAGAGAGGAUGAAGGAUUCAUAAAAGAAGAGGAACGUAUUUUACCCAACAAUGAAUUCCAAAAGCAGUUGGAUGGAUAUUUUCACUAGAUCAGAUAACCUCAUCUCAACCUGGCAACAAGCGUCGCCCAACCAACACUGCUGCAGUAGAACACAUGCACCUGAAAGGCCUAGAGGAGAAUUAGCCUGACACAUACCAAUGGACUCAAGCUCCAGCAGCUCAACGCAGCACCAACUGAAAUACAUCAAGAUAUAGAGGAUCUCUAUGGCUCCACCAUCUCCCACACAUACUGUACUGGCCUAGAGAGAGACCCCAGAGGCAAGGUGCCAUGGACACAGAGCCUUCAGCUAAGACCUCACCACACCUCCCAUGGACUGUCUAUCAGAGAAAAGAUUACGUGUGGUACUCUGUGCUGAUCUCUCGCUCUCUCUCGGUCUCUUUCUAGUGUCUUAGAUCUGGAAUACAAUCCCAGAGAUGCCAGUACAAGAAGACAUACUGUGUAAGUGGCCCAUCAUAACUCACCAGUCCCCAUCAGGCCUGGGGUUGGUCCAUGGCCGUCCCCAGUCCCCAUCAGGCCUGCGGUUGGUCCAUGGCCGUCCCCAGUCUCCAUCAGGCCUGCGGUUGGUCCAUGGCCAUCCCCAGUGGAGUAGAGGACUGAGAUCAUGUUUUUCAGCAUCACAAUGUAUUCAUGGUGUGUUGUCAUUUUCCAAGGACAAAUGUAAGCACAUAAAUGUGUCAUCAACACGGUAAGCUUUUGCCUGUUUAGUAAAAAUAUUGCAGUGUAACAAGUUAGGAUUGUUUAUCUGAAAAAUGAAUGUCAUUGGGGAAAUGUAUUUAUCACACACACACACGAUUGUAUCCUCCUCUCUUUCCCUUCCUCCUCCACUCUCUUCUCUCUUCUUUCCUCUGUCAUCCUCUUUUCCCAACACAACAUAAUACCAUGACGUCACAGCUGCAGGUGGCUUAUCAGAAGUGCUGAGUGUCUUUGUUCUCUCUGGAAAUAGGGUCCACUCUUCAUUUCUCCCCACUUCAGUAUUUCUAUGUUUGGGAAAAUGAAAACAUGUCUGUGAGUUACCCUGAGCUAUAAAUCACUUGUCAGUGGAGCUCAAUUUGAAUGCUUAUGUGGAACACCUCAAGCUUCAGUUCAGUGCACCUCAGGAAAAGAAAAAUGUCAUUAUUUUCUAUGGUAUGUUUAAUACAUUAGGUGAGGCAUGUGAUUCCAUUUCUAUUUAGUCAACUGCACAUAAUUACUGUACAUACUGUACAUUACGUGUGUGUGUGUGUGUGUGUGUGUGUGUGUGUGUGACUGGAAAAGUGUGUGAUAGUAUGUAUGUCUGAAUGUGAACAUUAGUACAGACGGUAUAUAUGUACGUUUGAGCGAUGCCCAGCUGUAAAAUGUAGAUCGUCUCAGCUGGUACAGUACGCCUGGCUUGACUGCACUCUGGAACCCUCAGCAUCAUCCUCGGAAUCAGCCUCGGCAUCAGAGUGCUGAGAGGCCCUUCUCAGGAGAGGCACUCUCUCUGUUUCCACUGUGUUGGAGGAAGAACACACACACACACAUAUCAUGGAUUAGCUGCCCUUAAGGAAGCCAAGUCCCUCUGUGUUGUCAGCCUCUCACAGUUGGCUGGUCUUCUCUGUGGCUCGGUAGGGGCUCUCAUUGUAAGCAGACGUGUGUGUGUGUGUGUGUGUGUGUACCAAUGCACCACGCUGUCCAAAACACACAUCAUAUACAUCAACAGUGCAUGAUGUGGAUAGGUACAUACAUUAUGUGGUGUGUGUGUGUGUGAUGCUCAUCCAGAGGAGGCAAGGAGACCCCAGGCAUCCCCCUCUACUCUCAGGCAGACAUCCGCCACAUGAAAGGAGUGAAUCUGUAGCAGCAAGCUAUAAUGAUACAGGGGAUGGAGCUGACAUGCAAUGCAUUCUGGGGAGAGAGAGAGUUCAUUUAUAGUACUACUAACUUCACCAACUGUACUGAUGAUUGUGUAUAUCUGUAACACUUCCUGUCUUAGCCCUAAAACGUUUAUAAAAAGCUAUAGGGCUGCGGACUGAAAUAUAGUAUGCUUCAGACAUAUUACUAUUAUUACUCGAUACAAAUGGAAAACCAUCCAUCUACUCCUCAGAAGACAUCUAAUGGCAGACUGGGGGAUAUUUAUCAAAUUCACUCUUCUGGAUCAUGACUCUGUGUUUGUUCAACACUUUGAGUCAAGACUAAGGAAGGCCCACAAACCAUAUCAUGGUAUUGUACACAUGUCCUUUUCUCCCAAGGGAUAUAAAUACCAAGCCAGUUAUUAAAGAAAGGGUUUUACUCUAAAGUGUUUCAUUUCUACUGUCCUGCUCUUUGGCCGUAUGUGUAAAGAUGAUCCGCUAUCCGAUCAGUCUAAGAAGCUUGAAUGAGACCAAGGAUACCAGAGAUAUUCACAGAAAAUGUAUUAAUACAUUAAUUGACUAUUUAGAGGGGGAAAAAGACUUGUAUAACUUUCAUUAACAAGCAUACAUUACACAGUUGCAGAACUGUGUUGUCAUCUUGACCUUUCUGAAUGUGUUGUAAUUUCUACCUAUCAAUAAAGUCUAGCAAAGCCUUUAGGUAUUACAAGGCCUUUUUCAUUGAACUG